rnacentral:rRNA from 1 species
UGGGGAAUUUUGCACAAUGGGCGCAAGCCUGAUGCAGCGACGCCGCGUGAGGGAUGAAGGCCUUCGGGUUGUAAACCUUUUUCGCUCAUGGUCAAGCCGCAGCUUUGGGUUGUGGUGAGGGUAGUGGGUAAAGAAGCGCCGGCUAACUACGUGCCAGCAGCCGCGGUAAUACGUAGGGCGCGAGCGUUGUCCGGAAUUAUUGGGCGUAAAGGGCUUGUAGGCGGUUGGCCGCGUCUGCCGUGAAAUCCUCUGGCUUAACUGGGGGCGUGCGGUGGGUACGGGUUGACUGGAGUGCGGUAGGGGGGACUGGAAGUCCUGGUGUAGCGGUGGAAUGCGCAGAUAUCAGGAGGAACACCGGUGGCGAAGGCGGGUCUCUGGGCCGUUACUGACGCUGAGGAGCGAAAGCGUGGGGAGCGAACAGG